UUGACAGUCCGGGGAAUGGCGAGGGCGGCAGAGACUGGGUCGAGUCUAUUACGAAAGCCAAAUGUCGUCGUCAAUCUCCUACUUGGUCUUUGGAGCUCCAUUUCGUUGCGCUAAUCUACAUCGUUAGCGCGCUGUAGCGAGUGUACUUGCAAGAGCCAGAGAAAGACGACUAGACACGCAUUUUUCUAUUUAUCGAGCUUCCUGUAUACAAAGAACUGCGUUCGUCAUUGACUCUAGGCAAGCAGUUGUGUCAACUAUGUUCCCGAGCCAGAGGAUUCAAUGUUGCGGCGAACAGCUUUAGCGAUUUACCAGAAGUUUGAUUAAACUAGCCAGCUGAUGCUAUUGUUCUUGCAAUUCAACUAACUGACAUGGAUCUUGUUCAAGUGAUAUUUACAACAUGUGAUGAUCUAUCUGUACAGCAGCAACUUGCAUUCAAGUUAGGACGUCAACAGAGAAGUAAGCAGUUCAAAUGGUUGCUUAUGUGUGUGCAUGUGUGUGGGAGAGUGGAGUGUGUGUUGGGGAAGCAAGUGGGAUGUGUGAGCCUGAGGACUGUGUGGUAUUGAGGCUUGGGCGCGUAGGUGCGUGUGAUUGUUGGCAUGUAGAAGCUGCAAAUGUAAUCAUUGCAAGCAGCUGGACAUCAUGGAGCCAAAGGUUCCUGAAGAUAUUUACAAGAGCCAUCUCGAGACUCACAGAUCGUCUUGUGGACCAUCCAAUGUUGAUUCAGCCAACCAAAAUCUUCCAGCAUCAUUUGUGAAUGGAUUUCUUAAAUGUGCAUUUGGUCGAGAUAAGCUGUUAAUGGAUGAUGGAAGUAAAUGGAUUUACAAGAACAAAGACCAUGUCUUAGUCUUGCUUAUGCGGCUCAGCGCUUGACGAAAUCAUUGAACUUCUGAUUCCUGUUUUAUGUGAUGAAAAGUCUCUGAUGGAAUGUGUAGGCAUGACAGCCUUAGCAUUGGGCAUGAUCGGCGUAUCAACCUGCCAUGCUGAAAUUACUGCGAUGAUUUUGCAAACUAUGAUGGAGAGAUCAGAAGAAAAGCUGAAAGAUCCAUUUGCAAAAUACCUGGCAUUAGGAAUAAGACUCACAUACUUGGUAUCUUCCUUUCUUGCCGGCAAGCAAGAUGCUGCAGAGGUUGUGGUUGCAUCUCUUGAAGUUGUUCCUGAUCCUCUCUGAACAUUGUCAAGGGUAAUGGUAGAAGUGUGUGCAUAUCCAGGUGAGAACAACAUAUGGCAAACUGACAACAGCAUUUUUUCGACUGAGUAGAAAUAUUAGGAGUCAGAAUGAUGUAUUGAAUAGAGUAGUUGUGUAGGUUUGCUGUUGAUGUGGAAAGAGUGGUCGUACAAUUGAGGUUCAGAAUCUGCUUCAUACGUGUAACAAGCAUUAGGAGACAGAAAAAGAUCAGGAGAAAGAGUCAGGAAAACAAAAACAGGAGUCUGGUCAUCAACAUGGUAGUGGGUCUGGCACAGCGAACUCUGGAAGUGAAGCCACCACAAACCUGUUCAGGACGCUACUCAUCAGGCGAAGGCUGUUCUUGGGAUUGCUCUGAUUGUGUGUGGAGAAGAGAUCAGAGCUCAGAUGGCCAUGAGAUAUUUUAGCCAUUUGUUGUGUCAACUAUGUUCCCGAGCCAGAGGAUUCGAUGUUGCUGCAAACAGCUUUAGGGAUUUACCAGAAGUUUGAUUAACCGGCCCAGCUGAUGCUAUGGUUCUUGAAAUUCGACUAAAUGACGUUGAUCUUGUUCAAGAGAUAUUUACAACAUGCGAUGAUCUAUCUGUACAGCAGCAACUUGUGUUCAAGUUAGGACAUCAACAGAUUUGUUUUGAUCUGGAUUCCAGCAUGCCUAAUAGGGACGACCUAACUGAGAGUAUGGAGAACAUUCCACUGAAUAACCACUAUUUGUCUCUUACUAGAGAACUGGACAUCAUUGAGCCAAAGGUUUCUGAAGUUAGUUAGAUGAGUUUAUUGGAAGGAUCGUGUUAUGGACCAUCCAAUGUUGAUUCAGCCAAGCAAAUCUUGCAGCAUCAUUUGUGAAUGGAUUUCUUAAUUGUCCAUUUGGUUGAGAUAAGCUGUUAAUGGAUGAUGGAAGUAAAUGGAUUUACAAGAACGAAGAUCAUGUCUUGGUCUUGCUUAUGCUGGCUCAGCACGUGAAGAAAUCAUUGAACUUCUGCUUUCUGUUUUAUGUGAUGAAAAGUCUCUGAUGGAAUGGGUAGGCAUGACAGCCUUAGCAUUGGCAUGAUCGGCGCAUCAACCUGCUAUGCUGAAAUUACAGCAAUCAUUUUGUAAACAAUGAUGGAGAAAUCAGAAGAACAGCUGAAAGAUCCAUUUGCAAAAUACCUGGCAUUAGGACUAGGACUCACAUACUUAUGCAAGCAAGAUGCUGCAGAGGUUGUGGUUGCAUCUCUUGAAGUUGUUCCUGAUUCUCUCAGAACAUUGUCGAGGGUAAUGGUAGAAGUGUGUACAUAUGCAGGUGACAACAAAAUAUGGCAAACUGGAACGGGCAAUGUGUUGAAGGUUCAGAAUCUGCUUCAUACGUGUAGCGAGCAUUAGAAGACAGAAAAAGAUCAGGAGAAAGAGUCAGGAAAACAAACAGGAGUCUGGUCAUCAACAUGGUAGUGGUUCUGGUACAGCGAACUCUGGAAGUGAAGCCAGCACAAAACCUGUUAAGGACGCUACUCAUCAGGCGAUGGCUGUUCUUGGGAUUGCUCUGAUUGUGGGUGGAGAGGAGAUAGGAGCUCACAUCUCUUAUCCCUUUGGCAGUUGAUGUUGUCGAUCAAGCAGGUAAACCAAAGACCAUCACCAGCUUUCCAAUUCAUUCGAUUCCCAUUUCAUUGGCAUAUGGGGAGAAGGCCGAGGUAGCUACCGAAGAAUG